rnacentral:rRNA from 1 species
UACGAAGGGUGCAAACGUUGCUCGGAAUCAUUGGGCGUAAAGCGCACGUAGGCGGCUUCGCAAGUCGGAUGUGAAAUCCCUCGGCUCAACCGAGGACGUGCACCCGAAACUGCGGGGCUUGAGUACUUAAGAGGAUCGCGGAAUUCCCGGUGUAGAGGUGAAAUUCGUAGAUAUCGGGAGGAACACCAGUGGCGAAGGCGGCGAUCUGGGAAGAUACUGACGCUGAGGUGCGAAAGCGUGGGGAGCAAACAGG